UACGGAGGGUGCAAGCGUUGUCCGGAUUUAUUGGGUUAAAGGGUGCGUAGGUGGUUUUCUAAGUCUGGUUUGAAGCAAUGACGGCUUAACCGGUUUGUAACUGUUGGCUGGGAAACUGGAGGACUUUGAAUGGGUUGGCGGUAGCCGGAAUGGGUCAUGUAGCGGUGAAAUGCAUAGAUAUGACCCGGAACACCGAUUGCGAAGGCAGGCUACUACGACUUGAUUGACACUGAGGCACGAGAGCAUGGGUAGCGAACAGG
rnacentral:rRNA from 1 species